CAAUGGUGGUGUUAAUUCGGUCAACUGUGACACGAUACAAAAUAUAGGAAAGUGUAUGCGUUAUACGUUUGAGGUUUGUUUUGUUUUGUACCAUUACGCGAGAGUUUAGCAUUAUAUUUGGACGAUCACUCCUAUGACAACCACUACUAGAACAACACAACCGACAACUAUUGCGACUACGGCAUAUACAGGGAAAAUACCGGCACACUUGUGUUCAUCAGAACCAUCCAGACAAUCAGCAUCGCCGUUACACUGCCAUUCCUUGGAGAUACACUGCCCAUUGGCGCAGGUGAACAUGGCUCCAUCACAAUGUCGGUGUGCUUUUAAGUAAUACUUUCAUAAAACAACUUUUAACAGGAAUUUUAUAAUUCUUAAGAAUUGUGAAAUAUAUAUAUAUAUGUAUCAUCUCAUCAAUUUUAGAAAAUUUAGGGCUGAAAUCCCCAUUCCUCCUAAAAACAAACAUUCUCUGAAAAGUUAUGUCCUCAUUUUAAGUGAAUGUAAACAUUUAUAAACAUUUAUAAUUCCACCCGCCAAGGAAAUAAGCGUAAGCAUUUAAAACAUAAAAGGCCCUCUGCCCCAAUCUCCCAUGAGUGAAUAUUUCCCCUAUUGUAUUGUAAUAUUGUUAAAACAUUUAUUCAUUCAGAUGUUCUGCUUAUGUUUGCAACUUUCACCAGAGGGAGGAAUACUUACUGACAGUGCAGUUGUUUUCGUCUAUUCCAUCUGAGCAGUCGUGCACCUCAUCGCAUUUCAAGUCAUUAUCAAUGCACACGUUGUCCGCGGUACAAUAGAACUGAGUUGCAGUGCAAACUGU